UACAGAGGGGGCCAGCGUUAUUCGGAAUUAUUGGGCGUAAAGGGCGCGUAGGCGGCCAUGCGUGUCUUCCGUGAAAUCCCUCGGCUCAACCGAGGACGUGCGGAAGAAACUGCAAGGGCUCGAGUCCGGGAAGAGGGGGGCGGAAUUCCCAGUGUAGCGGUGAAAUGCGUAGAUAUUGGGAGGAACACCAGUGGCGAAGGCGGUCCCCUGGGCCGGAACUGACGCUGAGGCGCGAAAGCGUGGGUAGCAAACGGG
rnacentral:rRNA from 1 species